rnacentral:rRNA from 1 species
CCUACGGGAGGCAGCAGUGAGGAAUAUUGGUCAAUGGACGAGAGUCUGAACCAGCCAAGCAGCGUGAAGGAUGACUGCCCUAUGGGUUGUAAACUUCUUUUAUAUGGGAAUAAAACGUUCCACGUGUGGGAUUUUGUAUGUACCAUAUGAAUAAGGAUCGGCUAACUCCGUGCCAGCAGCCGCGGUAAUACGGAGGAUACGGGCGUUAUCCGGAUUUAUUGGGUUUAAAGGGAGCGUAGGUGGAUUGUUAAGUCAGUUGUGAAAGUUUGCGGCUCAACCGUAAGAUUGCAGUUGAAACUGGCAGUCUUGAGUACAGUAGAGGUGAGCGGAAUGCGUGGUGUAGCGGUGAAAUGCUUAGAUAUUACGAAGAACUCCGAUUGCGAAGGCAGUUCACUGGACUGCAACUGACACUGAGGCUCGAAAGUGUGGGUAUCAAACAGGAUUAGAUACCCUAGUAGUC